rnacentral:rRNA from 1 species
GACAGAGGUGCCGAGCGUUAGGCGGAAUCACUGGGCUUAAAGCGUGUGUAGGCGGGCCGUUAAGUGCCUUGUGAAAUCCCCCGGCUCAACCGGGGAACCGCUGGGCAGACUGGCGGCCUUGAGCGGCCCAGGGGCGAGCGGAACAAACGGUGGAGCGGUGAAAUGCGUAGAUAUCGGGAGGAACACCAGUGGCGAAGGCGACUACCUGGCCUGUUCUUGACGCUGAGGCGCGAAAGCUAGGGGAGCAAACGGG